rnacentral:rRNA from 1 species
AUACGAAGGGAGCUAGCGUUGUUCGGAAUUACUGGGCGUAAAGCGCGCGUAGGCGGUCCGUUUAGUUAGGCGUGAAAGGCCUGGGCUCAACCCGGGAACUGCGUUUAAAACUGGCGGGCUAGAGUCCGGGAGAGGGUGGCGGAAUUCCCAGUGUAGAGGUGAAAUUCGUAGAUAUUGGGAAGAACACCAGUGGCGAAGGCGGCCACCUGGCCCGGUACUGACGCUGAGGCGCGAAAGCGUGGGGAGCAAACAGGAUUAGAUACCCCGGUAGUCC